rnacentral:misc_RNA from 1 species
AGACAACAUCCUGGUGAAUAGCAAGCGAACAAACUGAAAUUUGAGGCAAACACAAUAAUCGCAAGCUCAAGAAAGAUUAAGAACAGGGAAAACAACUUUAAACUUGCAUCAGACCACCUCGAAAACGAAACAAACAUUAUCUAACUUGAAUAAAAUGACUCGAGGAUAAAGAGAGCAAAUAAACAUAUUAGAUUUGGACACAUCACAUAGAGGCAUU